GUGGGGAAUAUUGGGCAAUGGGCGCAAGCCUGACCCAGCAACGCCGCGUGAGGGAAGAAGGUUUUCGGAUUGUAAACCUCUGUCGCAAGGGACGAAGAAGUGACGGUACCUUGUGAGGAAGCCCCGGCUAACUACGUGCCAGCAGCCGCGGUAAUACGUAGGGGGCGAGCGUUGUCCGGAAUUACUGGGCGUAAAGGGUGCGUAGGCGGUUGCUUAAGUUGGAUGUGAAAUACCCGGGCUUAACUUGGGGGGUGCAUUCAAAACUGGGCAACUAGAGUUCAGGAGAGGGAAGCGGAAUUCCUAGUGUAGCGGUGAAAUGCGUAGAUAUUAGGAGGAACACCAGUGGCGAAGGCGACUUUCUGGACUGAACCUGACGCUGAGGCGCGAAAGCAUGGGGAGCGAACGGGAUUAGAAACCCCGGUAGUCC
rnacentral:rRNA from 1 species